UGCCGGCGUGGCGGAACUGGCAGACGCGCAGGACUCAAAAUCCUGUGCCCGCGAGGGCGUGCCGGUUCGAUCCCGGCCGCCGGUAU
rnacentral:tRNA from 1 species